rnacentral:hammerhead_ribozyme from 1 species
AUCCAUCUGACGAGUCCAAAAUAGGACGAAACCCGCGUUCUGGAU